GAGCACGCGCGUGAGUGAAGAAGGUUUUCGGAUCGUAAAACUCUGUUGUUAGAGAGAACACGGGUGAGAGUAACUGUUCAUCCCUUGACGGUAUCUAACCAGAAAGCCACGGCUAACUACGUGCCAGCAGCCGCGGUAA
rnacentral:rRNA from 1 species